rnacentral:snRNA from 1 species
GUGCUCGCUUCGGCACCACAUAUACUAAAAUUGGAAUGACACAGAGAGGAUUAGCAUGGCCCCUGCGCAAGGAUGACAUGCAAAUUCGUGAAGCAUUCCAUAUUUUU